rnacentral:rRNA from 1 species
AUUGAACGCUGGCGGCAUGCUUUACACAUGCAAGUCGAACGGCAGCGCGGGCUUCGGCCUGGCGGCGAGUGGCGAACGGGUGAGUAAUGCAUCGGAACGUGCCCAGUAGUGGGGGAUAGCCCGGCGAAAGCCGGAUUAAUACCGCAUACGACCUGAGGGUGAAAGCGGGGGACCGAAAGGCCUCGCGCGAUUGGAGCGGCCGAUGUCGGAUUAGCUAGUUGGUGGGGUAAAGGCUUACCAAGGCGACGAUCCGUAGCUGGUCUGAGAGGACGACCAGCCACACUGGGACUGAGACACGGCCCAGACUCCUACGGGAGGCAGCAGUGGGGAAUGUUGGACAAUGGGGGCAACCCUGAUCCAGCCAUGCCGCGUGCGGGAAGAAGGCCUUCGGGUUGUAAACCGCUUUUGUUCGGGAAGAAAUCCUCUGGGCUAAUACCCCGGGGGGAUGACGGUACCGGAAGAAUAAGCACCGGCUAACUACGUG